CAACAAUAAUAAAAAAUCACGAUGUUGUUUGCGCGUCUACCAUGAGAAUAUCACAACAGGAAGCAGUACGGGCGCCGCCAUUACUAUAGAGCUCAACUCGGCCUCAGAGGGUUGUGGGAAGGACGACGGAGGCCUACUACACACUACUACAACAACCGAAACAAAACAAACAUUGCACCAUUCCACCACCGGGGGGGGUAGGAUGCUCAAACCCGCUAAAAGGAAUAAGAAGAACGAAUUCCCCUGUGCGAGAUUACUUAAAGAAACAUAAAUCUACACAAUUCGCGCCUCUCGAAAUAACCCAAUUAAUGGGGGGUAUGUGAUAAAAACCCGACAUGCAACAUGUGAGCGAAGCGUGAUCGACACACACGAAUGGACACGAAGAAGCACGUUCUUCUAUGAGAGCAGUGGGAUGCGAGGGGUGUCCCCACAAAGUGUCUGCCACCUAUUGCACACCGGCUGUAGCGGAUUUGUUUAGCAUUUUUAGCAUGUCUUCUCUCUGUACGGUGAUGUGUCAAAUCCAACACUCGCUAUAUAUAACGACUUUUUUUUUAUAAAUAUAUUUUUACUUCUCUUGCUCAUCCAAUCUCACACCCCCCAAGAAGAUCGGUGUGCAAGCUCGGCAAAGGGAGGUGCAUGUGUCUGUGAGACUAUGUGCAUCCGGCGAAACCGUGUCCACUCUGUACAGCGCAGCAAAAUAAGUGCCAAACGAGUAAGAGCAAACGAUCAAAAGUGACAGUGAUCUGCCCUUUUCCUCUCUCAUCCAAUCCAAACGUUCCGAUUCAAACAAGCUGAUCGUUGCAGAACACAGAACAGAAGGCGCGACACGGACGGACACACGUCGGCGGCAGUUUUGCCAUCGACCUUUGAACAGAGCGCGAGAAAGUGUUGUGUCUUGAGAUGGUGAAAGAAAGGAAUUCACAACACAGCCAUUGCUCCUUCCCGGCUUAUCUUCCUUCCUCUUUAUUACUCACUGUCUGGUGCAGUGAGCUUGAUUUUAUGUGAAUCAUCUCCGUACUGAUAUAAAAAAACCCUUUUUUUUUCCUCUUAUAUCCAUGUCUAUGCUCCAAGAGAUCCCUAUCCCUUUAUCAUCGAGCCUCUAUCAUCUCGUCUCAUGCGUAGUUGCGUUAGUGAGCACAAAGGUUAUACAAACGGUAACACAUAUACGAAGCCAUUUCGAUCCCACAAGCGCGUACGAAUUGUUCCACGGCAGCAGCACAAAAAAAAAGUAAUAACUACCCUUAAUCAGAGCCAACACUUUGUCUUAUCACAAAAUGGGAAAAUAAGAGCAGCGAGGAAAGAUAUCACACACACCCUGGCUAAAGCCCUGGGGCUGACUGGACAGGUCACACAGGCGCUCCAAUUGCAAUAUCUUAUCUUAUCGUGGCAAUAAAAUGUUAAAUAAAUGAAAGAUGUUAAGCAAUGGAACAGAGUAAAACCAGUGUACCUAUCACACAGUACCACACGA